rnacentral:lncRNA from 1 species
CAGCGGCAGCGCGGCGUCGAGCGCCGCGUUCACGGCGGCUAUCUUUUCGAGCAUGUAUGCCUUGAAAUCGAAGACUAGUUUUUGGUUUUGGUCUGGAGUUUGAUUUGAAGUGAAUCGGAUUGGUGUGUGAAGCUUGUGAGUUAGUGGAGGAGGAAGCCAUCUGCAAGAGUGAAUCCAUCUAAACUUGCGGAAAAAAUUGGGGCAAAGAUUCAUUCUGUUGCUUUUUGGACAAAACUUUGUCUGAAUUAUUUGUAGAAAUCGAAGAGCUGGGCUGGGAUGGGUCAAAAGGACAUUUCUUUUAGGAUUAGCCAAUAUUUAAUUGGUCCAACCCAACCCAAACCAGAAUUCGUGCCUGCUACAAUGGUUGGAGAACGUCCCCUCCUCCAAACAUGUUAAAGAAGUCUUUGA